AUUCAUAUCAUCAAGAAGUUUUUGAAGAAGCGCAGCAUUACUUCCUGUGAGAACCAUAUCGUCAACAUAGAGCAGUAAUAGCAUGAUAUUUGUUCCUUUCUCAUACACAAACAGAGAAGGAUCUUGCAUACUGCAUUUAAACCCAAAUUCCAGUAAGUAUGUGCUGAACUUAUCAAACCAGGCUCUGGUUUCAACCCAUAGAGUGAUUUGUGGAGCUUCCAAACAUGAUCUGGUUUUACGUUAUCUGUAAAACCAGUUGGUUUGAGCAUGUAUACAGUUUCUGUUAGAUCCCCAUGCAAAAAUGCAUUUUUAACAUCCAACUGUUUGAUUUCCCAUUGCAUCACAGUAGCAGCAUGAAGAACUAGGCGCACUGUAGCUGUUCUAACAACUGGACUGUAUGUUUCAAAAUAAUCAAUUCCCUCUUCUUGGUGAAACCCUUUUGCAACAACUCUUGCUCUAAGCUUGCCUAAUGAACCAUCUGAGUUGAGCUUUGUUCUAAAAACCCAUUUACACCCAAGAACAUUCAUAUCUGGUUUGUAAGGUACUAGAGAGAAAGUUUUAGUUUCAAUGCACGUGUCAAUUUCUUCUUGCAUUGCAUCCUUCCAGCCUGCAUCUUUCAAUGCUUCUGUAACUGUUCUUGGUUCUGGAUACGUAGCCUUUUGAGUGAGCAGAGCAUAGCGCGGGUUUGGUUUUCUUAUUCCUGCUUGAGCCCUGGUGGUCAUAGGGUGCGUGCUUUGACUGAGAGCUGGGGCAUGUUGGAUAGAUGCACUUGUUGAUUGAUGUUCAGCAGCUUGUUGAGGAGCAACAGAUGAGGUAGUCACAUUAGGUGAAGUGAGAGCGUUGUCGCCAAUAGAAGCAGGAUCUAAGCCUGUCGUACGUUCAAUUUACUCUCCCUCCACCGUAUGACUCUCACUGGAGCUAGCAGAGACUUCAAGAUUAGACGAUGAGGAUUGAACAGUAGAUGGAGUUGCAGGUUGAACUACAGAGUGAGUUGCAGGUUGAUUUGUACACUGCAAUGGAGGGAAAUCUUCAUCAGUGAACAAUGAUUUCUGCUUUUCCAAGUGAGGCUGGCACUGACUUGUUG
rnacentral:lncRNA from 1 species